CUGUGUUAGUUGCCACAAAUUAGUUGAUGAAAAUUUUGUGUAUCAUAAGAAAAAGAGUUACUGUAGCCACUGUUUGUGCUGUAAAUGUCAGAAACCUAUAGCUGAUGAGGAUGUUCUUCCAACAGAACAGGGUCGAUUUCAUAGGAAUUGUUUGGUAUGUAGUGUAUGUCAUAUACUUAAAAGGGAAAUGUUCCAAUUUGGAGACAACUAUAUUUGCAAAAAGUGCUACCAUGACAGAAACAGAAAGAAAAGAUAAACUUUUAAAACUAUAUCUACAUACAUUUUAUAAUAGAUUGCACAAGUCAAAACAUUUCAGUAGCUUCUUGAUACCUAGUUUUGUAGAUAGACUAUUAUAGAUAGUCAUAAAUAAUUUGAACAUGAUAUUUUAAUUAAUGGA